UCCCAUUCAGCACGGGCAGUCCUGCUAGAGUGCUCCCUUUCGGGUUUACAACUAACAGCAAGGGUUUCGCUCGUUACAGCACUUAAGCUAACAUCUCACGACACGAGCUGACGACAGCCAUGCAGCACCUGUGUUACGGUUCCCUUUCGGGCACACCUCCAUCUCUGGAGGCUUCCGUACAUGUCAAGGGUAGGUAAGGUUUUUCGCGUUGCAUCGAAUUAAUCCACAUAAUCCACCGCUUGUGCGGGUCCCCGUCAAUUCCUUUGAGUUUUAGUCUUGCGACCGUACUUCCCAGGCGGGGUACUUAUUGCGUUAGCUCCGGUUCAGCAGGGGUCAAGACCCGCCAAACCUAGUACCCAUCGUUUACAGCGUGGACUAC
rnacentral:misc_RNA from 1 species